rnacentral:rRNA from 1 species
UACAGAGGGUGCGAGCGUUAAUCGGAAUUACUGGGCGUAAAGCGUGCGUAGACGGUUAUUUAAGUCGGGUGUGAAAGCCCCGGGCUCAACCUGGGAAUUGCAUUCGAGACUGAAUAGCUAGGGUACGGUAGAGGGAAGCGGAAUUUCCGGUGUAGCGGUGAAAUGCGUAGAUAUCGGAAGGAACACCGGUGGCGAAGGCGGCGUUCUGGACUGCAACUGACACUGAUGAACGAAAGCCAGGGGAGCAAACGGG